rnacentral:rRNA from 1 species
AGAGUUUGAUCCUGGCUCAGAUUGAACGCUGGCGGCAGGCCUAACACAUGCAAGUCGAGCGGAUGACGGGAGCUUGCUCCUUGAUUCAGCGGCGGACGGGUGAGUAAUGCCUAGGAAUCUGCCUGGUAGUGGGGGACAACGUUUCGAAAGGAACGCUAAUACCGCAUACGUCCUACGGGAGAAAGCAGGGGACCUUAGGGCCUUGCGCUAUCAGAUGAGCCUAGGUCGGAUUAGCUAGUUGGUGGGGUAAUGGCUCACCAAGGCGACGAUCCGUAACUGGUCUGAGAGGAUGAUCAGUCACACUGGAACUGAGACACGGUCCAGACUCCUACGGGAGGCAGCAGUGGGGAAUAUUGGACAAUGGGCGAAAGCCUGAUCCAGCCAUGCCGCGUGUGUGAAGAAGGUCUUCGGAUUGUAAAGCACUUUAAGUUGGGAGGAAGGGCAGUAAGCUAAUACCUUGCUGUUUUGACGUUACCGACAGAAUAAGCACCGGCUAACUCUGUGCCAGCAGCCGCGGUAAUACAGAGGGUGCAAGCGUUAAUCGGAAUUACUGGGCGUAAAGCGCGCGUAGGUGGUUUGUUAAGUUGGAUGUGAAAGCCCCGGGCUCAACCUGGGAACUGCAUCCAAAACUGGCAAGCUAGAGUACGGUAGAGGGUGGUGGAAUUUCCUGUGUAGCAGUGAAAUGCGUAGAGAUGUGGAGGAACACCGAUGGCGAAGGCAGCCCCCUGGGCCGAUACUGACGCUCAUGCACGAAAGCGUGGGUAGCAAACAGGAUUAGAUACCCUGGUAGUCCACGCCCUAAACGAUGUCAACUAGGUGUUGGGUGGGUAAAACCAUUUAGUACCGUAGCUAACGCGUGAAGUUGACCGCCUGGGGAGUACGGCCGCAAGGUUAAAACUCAAAGGAAUUGACGGGGACCCGCACAAGCGGUGGAUGAUGUGGAUUAAUUCGAUGCAACGCGAAAAACCUUACCUACCCUUGACAUGUCCAGAAGCCCGGAGAGAUUUGGGUGUGCCCGAAAGGGAACUGGAACACAGGUGCUGCAUGGCUGUCGUCAGCUCGUGUCGUGAGAUGUUGGGUUAAGUCCCGCAACGAGCGCAACCCUUGUCGUUAAUUGCCAUCAUUUAGUUGGGCACUUUAACGAGACUGCCGGUGACAAACCGGAGGAAGGUGGGGAUGACGUCAAGUCCUCAUGGCCCUUAUGGGUAGGGCUUCACACGUCAUACAAUGGUCGGUACAGAGGGUUGCCAAGCCGCGAGGUGGAGCCAAUCCCAGAAAGCCGAUCGUAGUCCGGAUUGCAGGCUGCAACUCGCCUGCAUGAAGUCGGAAUCGCUAGUAAUCGCGGAUCAGCAUGUCGCGGUGAAUACGUUCCCGGGUCUUGUACACACCGCCCGUCACACCAUGGGAGCGGGUUCCGCCAGAAGUAGGUAGCCUAACCGUAAGGAGGGCGCUUACCACGGCGGGGUUCGUGACUGGGGUGAAGUCGUAACAAGGUAGCCGUA